rnacentral:ribozyme from 1 species
CAGCGAAACAAAAACAUGUCCGCCCUCUCCCAAGCCCAAAAAAGCAAAGGCGAUACGUUCCUCCAAGAGGCUGAAGCCACGCUGGGUAAAUCCACAUGGUUCGCAAGCUCCACUGAGCGCAAAUAUGAAGAUGCCGCUGAAUCUUUCACCCGGGCUGCCAACGCCUACAAAGUCGGGGGGUGGAAUGAGGAAGCUGGAAAUGC